rnacentral:sRNA from 1 species
GUAACAUCUGCGUGGGAGGGUGAAAGACCCAAGCUAGCAGCGCGGAGAAGAAGAGGGGGGAGCCAGGCAUUCAUCCCGGUCAAUUUUGGUUUCAGAUCGUGGCGACUGGUGGACAGGGGUCUUGACAGAGGCUCGCCCUGGGGCUGGGGCAGCGGAGGCGUAGCUGGCAGCCGUGGGCAGGUGAAGACAGCGCUCUGCCGGCCAGGUGAGUCCCCUUCUCCUCGCUGGUCCUUGCUCUCCUGGUCUCCUGCAGAAGGAGGUUCUGGGGAGCGCGGGCCAGCGAGGUGGAGAGGCUGGCCUCCCGGCAGAGCAGGACGCAGGCUGGUCAGGCAGCACAGGUGAUAUCGUCUCAGGGGAGCUGAGACAGGGCGGGCUGGGGGCCGCGGGAUGGGGUGCCGCGGGCUGCCCCAGGUGGCAAGGGCAUUUCCAGAGAGCCAGGCGGGAGCUUAGCAGGCAGGGCUGCCAGCACGUGUAGGGGGCACUCAGGCCCCCGGGGCGAGCAGGACAGGGUGGGGACUCAGGACAGAGGGGUUCCCAGCCGCCACUUCACCCACUGUAAUUCACUUAGUAGUAGGUCACAGGAGCGGCUCCGGCCAGGCGUUCUCAGGCCUGAGCCAGAGCCUCGAGGGCCGGAGAAUGAGAGAGAAGGCAGCGCAGUGCGCGGGCAACCGCGGCGGGAUGUCAUCUGGGGGGCGGUGGCCGCGGGACAGGCCCGGAGAGAUACCUGCAGCAGGGAGGCUGCGCGGGCCCAGCCCGUGGACGCCAGCCCCACGCAGCACUGCGGCCCGGGAGCCACGCGGGAGGGCCCCAGUGCACUUGGGGACACUGGGGACACUUGACCCGAACCGCUGGCCCUUGGGAUGGGCAUGAGAGAUAGAACAGCACCCAGGGGAGUCAAGGACACGGGCGAGACCAGGCUAGGUGGGGCGGGUGGGGGGGCGUGAAUGUGCACUCUCGGGGGAAGGGAGGCCAGGGCACAGGCAGGGGCGAGGGGCCAGAGCCGGGCACCGAGCCAGUGGGAGGGGCAUUGGACUUCGAGCUCGUGGCCAAGGCGGGCCUCUGCGGGCGAUGACGGAGCGGGAUCGGUGCCUCUGAGCUCGGAACGGAGACGGAGCCACGUCUCCAGUGGGGUGUUGGUGCCUGCCAGCCACGGAGGCCGGGCGGCCAGGACGCGCACAGAGGGAUAUGAUAUGGUCCGGUGUGAUGGAGAGAGCAGGCGGGACCGUCCAGCCUCCCAGGACACUGGCCCCGCGGGGAGCCCGGAUAUCGACGUUCCUUUAGUCUCCUGACGGAGCAGACACACCACUGCUGCUCUUCAGACACCCAGAACCCUCAAGAUGACAAGAGAUGGUGCUACCCAGCUCAUGCCUGGGACUUGGAACACGGACUUCUUCAAGUCUUCUAGCUCUGACUCAAGAAUAUGCUGCAUUUUGGAACCACUACACACCCUAACUCAGGAAUCAGCUCUGGAAGGUUGACCUAAAGGAACGGACGACCCACACCACCGGAAGAGCAGCCCCCGCGGCGACACCCACCCCGGCCCGGCGACUCCAUCUCUGCGGCCCCCCCCUGCCUCAGCCCCGAGACCACCGACAGCCUCCCUCCCUCCUUUUCCUCCUUUUCUGACUCUAUUUUCUGAUCUUCUCUCUGCUAUCCUUUGCUCAGGAGACUCAGAGCCUCCAGAGCCCCGUUCUCCCCGUCCCCCUUGAAUCAAUUUGCACUAAAAGUCGUUUGCACUGGUUGGGGCUCUGGAGCCAGCCCUGGUCUCUGAGCGUGUGUAAGCGCGCGUGUGUGCACACUGCUGAAUGUGUAGGCCUCCUUGGCCCGUGCCCCCGCCCAGCACCCUUCCCACACUUGCGGGUGCCUGGGAGGGGGCCCGAGUGGGGGGGCCCGCGUGUGAGGGGCCCCGCCCGCCCGCACCGAGUCUGGAGGCUCCGAACAUCAGGAGCACACACCAAGCAUGAACGUGUGUCCAUCUUGCCUAGUGUCCCUCCCUGCCAGGGCCUCCUCAGAUGCCCUGGACUCAUCAAUAAACUCAGUUACAGGAA